CACUUCUUAUCCUUAGAUCUAGAUCUCUUCUUCUAGAUCUUGAAGAAGGAGAUUGCUACGCGAAGUCUUUCACGCAGAUCUGACAGAAUCUGAAUCAGAUCACCAUGAAGAAAAGAAGAAUCCUUCUUCUCUCUCUUUUUCUCUCUUAGAUCUGAUCACCAUCAGAUCUGGGUGUGGAGAUAAGGAAGAAAGCAAGAGGGGGU
rnacentral:lncRNA from 1 species